rnacentral:rRNA from 1 species
AUUGAACGCUGGCGGCAUGCUUUACACAUGCAAGUCGAACGGUAACAGGGAGCUUGCUCCGCUGACGAGUGGCGAACGGGUGAGUAAUGCAUCGGAACGUACCCAGUCGUGGGGGAUAACGUAGCGAAAGUUACGCUAAUGCCGCAUACGUCCUGAGGGAGAAAGCGGGGGACCGAAAGGCCUCACGCUAUAGGAGCGGCCGAUGGAAGAUUAGGUAGUUGGUAGGGUAAAGGCCUACCAAGCCGACGAUCUUUAGCGGGUCUGAGAGGACGAUCCGCCACACUGGGACUGAGACACGGCCCAGACUCCUACGGGAGGCAGCAGUGGGGAAUUUUGGACAAUGGGGGCAACCCUGAUCCAGCAAUGCCGCGUGAGUGAAGAAGGCCUCGGUUGUAAG